UUUGAGGUCUAUCCCAAUGGAGCUUCCCCAAAAGCCACACAUUACUGAAAAUGUCCCAAGUAGCAAAACACACUAUGGUUUUGUUUUAAGCACGCGACUGUUUCUUAGGUUUGUGGGAAGAAGUUAUAAGACAGUC
rnacentral:snoRNA from 1 species